UACGAAGGGGGCGAGCGUUGUUCGGAAUUACUGGGCGUAAAGGGCGCGCAGGCGGCUCUGAAAGUCAGAUGUGAAAGCCCCGGGCUUAACCUGGGAAUUGCAUUUGAUACUCUGGAGCUUGAGUGUGGGAGAGGAGAGUGGAAUUCCCAGUGUAGAGGUGAAAUGCGUAGAGAUCUGGAGGAACACCGAUGGCGAAGGCAGCCUUCUGGGCCAACACUGACGCUCAUGCACGAAAGCGUGGGGAGCAAACAGG
rnacentral:rRNA from 1 species